GACGAACGCUGGCGGCGUGCCUAACACAUGCAAGUCGAGCGAUGAAGUUCCUUCGGGAACGGAUUAGCGGCGGACGGGUGAGUAACACGUGGGCAACCUGCCUUAUAGAGGGGAAUAGCCUUCCGAAAGGAAGAUUAAUACCGCAUAAGAUUGUAGCUUCGCAUGAAGUAGCAAUUAAAGGAGCAAUCCGCUAUAAGAUGGGCCCGCGGCGCAUUAGCUAGUUGGUGAGGUGACGGCUCACCAAGGCGACGAUGCGUAGCCGACCUGAGAGGGUGAUCGGCCACAUUGGGACUGAGACACGGCCCAGACUCCUACGGGAGGCAGCAGUGGGGAAUAUUGCACAAUGGGGGAAACCCUGAUGCAGCAACGCCGCGUGAGUGAUGACGGCCUUCGGGUUGUAAAGCUCUGUCUUUGGGGACGAUAAUGACGGUACCCAAGGAGGAAGCCACGGCUAACUACGUGC
rnacentral:rRNA from 1 species